AAGCGAAACCGUCCCAGGCAUCCUGGGACGGUCUAUCCGGUGUGGCAUCCGGAUACUGAUGAGCUGCCGAGG
rnacentral:hammerhead_ribozyme from 1 species